GACGAACGCUGGCGGCGUGCCUAAUACAUGCCAGUCGAGCGAAGUUUUUCUGGUGCUUGCCCUAGAAAAACUUAGCGGCGAACGGGUGAGUAACACGUAAAGAACCUGCCUCAUAGACUGGGACAACUAUUGGAAACGAUAGCUAAUACCGGAUAACAGUAUUUCUCGCAUGAGAGAUAUUUAAAAGUUGGUUAUGCUAACACUAUGAGAUGGCUUUGCGGUGCAUUAGCUAGUUGGUGGGGUAAAGGCCCACCAAGGCGACGAUGCAUAGCCGACCUGAGAGGGUGAUCGGCCACACUGGGACUGAGACACGGCCCAGACUCCUACGGGAGGCAGCAGUAGGGAAUCUUCCGCAAUGGGCGAAAGCCUGACGGAGCAACGCCGCGUGAGUGAAGAAGGAUUUCGGUUCGUAAAGCUCUGUUGUUAGGGAAGAAUGGAUAUGUAGUAACUAUACAUGUAAGAGACGGUACCUAACCAGAAAGCCACGGCUAACUACGUG
rnacentral:rRNA from 1 species